rnacentral:rRNA from 1 species
GAGUUUGAUCUUGGCUCAGGAUGAACGCUGGCGGCAGGCUUAACACAUGCAAGUCGAGCGCCGUAGCAAUACGGAGCGGCAGACGGGUGAGUAACACGUGGGAACGUACCUUUUGGUUCGGAACAACACAGGGAAACUUGUGCUAAUACCGGAUAAGCCCUUACGGGGAAAGAUUUAUCGCCGAAAGAUCGGCCCGCGUCUGAUUAGCUAGUUGGUGAGGUAACGGCUCACCAAGGCGACGAUCAGUAGCUGGUCUGAGAGGAUGAUCAGCCACACUGGGACUGAGACACGGCCCAGACUCCUACGGGAGGCAGCAGUGGGGAAUAUUGGACAAUGGGCGCAAGCCUGAUCCAGCCAUGCCGCGUGAGUGAUGAAGGCCCUAGGGUUGUAAAGCUCUUUUGUGCGGGAAGAUAAUGACUGUACCGCAAGAAUAAGCCCCGGCUAACUUCGUGCCAGCAGCCGCCGUAAG